rnacentral:rRNA from 1 species
UACAGAGGGUGCAAACGUUGUUCGGAAUUACUGGGCGUAAAGCGCAUGUAGGCGGCCAAGCAGGUCGGAUGUGAAAUCCCUCGGCUCAACCAAGGAAGUGCAUUCGAAACCGCAUGGCUGGAGUCCCGGAGAGGAUGGUGGAAUUCUCGGUGUAGAGGUGAAAUUCGUAGAUAUCGAGAGGAACACCGGCGGCGAAGGCGGCCAUCUGGACGAGGACUGACGCUGAGAUGCGAAAGCGUGGGGAGCAAACAGG